rnacentral:rRNA from 1 species
CUAUACAUGACUCUGCGCAUAUCAAUAAGCGGAGGAAAAGAAACUAACAAGGAUUCCCUAGUAACGGCGAGUGAAGCGGGAAGAGCUCAAAUUUGAAAUCUUCAAGGUUUACCUUGACGAAUUGUAGUUUAAAGAAGUGUUUUCGGUUAGAGGAGUAGUAAAAGUUCUUUGGAAUAGGACAUCAUAGAGGGUGAGAAUCCCGUAUUUGGUCAUUCUUUCUAGCUUUGUGAUACACUUUCAACGAGUCGGAUUGUUUGGGAAUGCAGUCCAAAAUGGGUGGUAAAUUUCAUCUAAAGCUAAAUAUUGGCGAGAGACCGAUAGCGAACAAGUACCGUGAGGGAAAGAUGAAAAGAACUUUGAAAAGAGAGUUAAACAGUACGUGAAAUUGUCAAAAGGGAAGCGUUUGACACCAGUGUUGUUUUUCCGAAAAUCAAUUACGAAUGUUUUGUUUUUGAGAAGUUAUGACUUCAUCGGCUUGCUUCUCUCUUUACGAAACUUUCUUAAUGCACUUUUCGGUUAACAAGUCAAAAUCAAUUUCUUUUGUUGUAAAAGGGUACGAGGAAGGUGGCUUUCUUUUCGGAGAAAGUGUUUAUAGCCUUGUACCUCUGCAAUCGGAGAGAUUGAGGUCUGCAGCGUAGAUCCUUCGGGGUUAGAUACAUUUGUGCUAAGUUAUAGCUUUUCAUAGACAACUUGUUGACUAUGUUUAGUCUUGUAGCUUACUCGCUUAUGCUAUUUUACCUACGCUUAGGAUGUUGAUAGUCACAGCGUGUAC